rnacentral:rRNA from 1 species
CUCAACUGUUAGGCUUCUGGGGGAUACUGUCAAACUUGGAACCGGGAGAGGUAAGAGGUACUUCGGGGGUAGGAGUGAAAUCUUGUAAUCCUUGUGGGACCACCAGUGGCGAAGGCGUCUUACCAGAACGGGUUCGACGGUGAGGGACGAAAGCUGGGGGCACGAACCGGAUUAGAUACCCGGGUAGUCCCAGCCGUAAACGAUGCUCGCUAGGUGUCUGGGAUGGUGCGACCGUUUCAGGUGCCGCAGGAAGCCGUGAAGC